ensembl:lncRNA
CGCUGAGCCCUGGAGGGGGGCACUGCAAUAGAUGCUGGACUCGAGUCCCAGCGUGUCUACCUCCCACCCCUGCCAAGCGCUCUCCAGCCCCGUGGACUCCAUGACCCAUUCUCGAGCAAAGAGCAAGGUAGCAGCUUCCCAGGUAGCUCAAAUGUUAAAGAAUCCGUUUGCAACUUGGGAGACCUGGGUUGGGAAGAUCCUCUGGAGAAGAGCAUGGCAACCCCCUCCAGUAUUCUGGCCUGGAGAAUCCCGAUGGAUGGAGGCUGCAAGUCUAUGGGGUUACAAAGAGUCAGUCACAAUUGAGCCAUUCUCACUUUCACUUGAUCAAGAAACCAGACGAACAGGAACUUUGAGCAGACUGAAUGUAGCAAUGCUCCUUCAGAACUCUGGGCACUCACAGUCCUGCUUUCUACAUAGUGUUUAAAAGCAGUAGUCAUGUACGGAUGUGAGAGUUGGACCAUAAAAAAGGCUGAACACCGAACCAUUGAUGCCUUUGAACUGUGGUGCUGGAGAAGAUUCUUGAGAGUCCCUUGAUCGGCCAUGAGAUCAAACCAGUCAAUCCUAAAGAAAAUCAGUCCUGAAUAUUCAUUGUAAGGAUUGACGCUGAAGCUCCAAUCCAUUGGCCACCUGAUGCAAAGAGUCGACUUAUUGGAAAAAACCUGAUGCUGGGAGAUUGAAGACAGGAUUUGAAGGGGAAAACAGAGGAUGGGAUGAUUGGAUAGCAUCACUGACUCAAUGGACAUAAGUUUGAGCAAACUCUGGGAGAUGUUAAAGGACAGGGAAACCUGGCUUGCUGCAGUCCAUGGGGUCCUAAAGAGUCAGAUAGGACUGAGCAACAGAACAAGAGAGGGUGUUUCCCUUUUCACUGAAGAAACUGAAACCCAGAAAGGUCAAGGGCUAGAUCACAGGGACAAGAUGCCUCCAGGCCAAUUCUUUACAGCUCUAGAGAAAUCUGUUUAUCUGAGGGCCAGUGUUCAUGUGUUCAUGUAAAUAUUUGUGACAAUUUCCAAGCAGGCAGAGAUGAUCCUUUGAGACAUUGAUGUUUUAAAGCAAAUAAUCAAAAAUUUUUCCUCUGAUUUUUGCUAAUUCUAAAGAGCUA